ACUCAAAGGAAUUGACGGGGGCCCGCACAAGCAGCGGAGCGUGCGGUUCAAUUCGAUGGUACGCGAAAAACCUUACCCAGGCUUGACAUGCAUGUGGUAGCGAUCCGAAAGGUGAGCGACCCGCAAGGGAGCAUGCACAGGUGUUGCACGGCCGUCGUCAGCUCGUGUCGUGAGAUGUUGGGUUAAGUCCCGCAACGAGCGCAACCCUCUGGGUCUGUUGUAUCCCUCAGGCCCGACUGCCGAGAGAAACUCGGAGGAAGGUGGGGAUGACGUCAGGUCAGCGUGGCCCUUACGCCUGGGGCUACACGCACGCUACAAUGGUCGGUCACAACGAGUCGCGACAUCGCGAGAUGAAGCUAAUCUCUCAAAACCGACCUCAGUUCAGAUGGGAGGCUGCAACUCGCCUCCCUGAAGUCGGAGUUGCUAGUAACCGGGGGACAGCACACCCCGGUGAAUAUGUUCCCGGGCCUUGUACACACCGCCCGU
rnacentral:rRNA from 1 species